rnacentral:rRNA from 1 species
AUUGAACGCUGGCGGCAGGCCUCACACAUGCAAGUCGAACGAGUGGCGCACGGGUGCGUAAUGUCUGGGAAACUGCCCGAUGGGGGGGGAUAACUACUGGCAACGGUAGCUAAUACCGCAUACCAUCUGAUGUGCCCCGAGGGGAUUAGCUAGUAGGUGGGGUAACGGCUCACCUAGGCGACGAUCCCUAGCUGGUCUGAGAGGAUGACCAGCCACACUGGAACUGAGACACGGUCCAGACUCCUACGGGAGGCAGCAGUGGGGAAUAUUGCACAAUGGGCGCAAGCCUGAUGCAGCCAUGCCGCGUGUAUGAAGAAGGCCUUCGGGUUGUAAAGUACUUUCAGCGAGGAGGCGUUACUCGCAGAAGAAGCACCGGCUAACUCCGUGCCAGCAGCCGCGGUAAUAC